GAACGCUAGCUACAGGCUUAACACAUGCAAGUCGAGGGGAAACGACAUCGAAAGCUUGCUUUGAUGGGCGUCGACCGGCGCACGGGUGAGUAACGCGUAUCCAACCUGCCCAUCACUUGGGGAUAACCUUGCGAAAGUAAGACUAAUACCCAAUGAUAUCUCUAGAAGACAUCUGAAAGAGAUUAAAGAUUUAUCGGUGAUGGAUGGGGAUGCGUCUGAUUAGCUUGUUGGCGGGGUAACGCCCACCAAGGCGACGAUCAGUAGGGGUUCUGAGAGGAAGGUCCCCCACAUUGGAACUGAGACACGGUCCAAACUCCUACGGGAGGCAGCAGUGAGGAAUAUUGGUCAAUGGGCGAGAGCCUGAACCAGCCAAGUAGCGUGCAGGAUGACGGCCCUAUGGGUCUUAAACUUCUUUUGUAAGGGAGCAAUAAGGCGUACGUGUACGUCGAUGAGAGUACCUUACGAAUAAGCAUCGGCUAACUCCGUG
rnacentral:rRNA from 1 species